GUUUCUGUAGUGUAGUGGAUAUCACAUUUGCCUAACACGCAAAAGGUCCCCAGAUCGAAGCUGGGCAGAAACA
rnacentral:tRNA from 1 species